UUGCUAAUAGCUAUUCAAAAUUUAACACUGAUCAUUAAGAAUAAAAAUGAAGUUUUGGAUAUUGAUAUCGCUUUUGUUGAUAAUAACUUGUGUGAUUUUCAAUGAAGCUCUCGCUGGACCGAUUUUAAUAAAAAAUAUGUCAAAAGAUCACGAAUCGUAUCUAGUCGAAGACAUUACUCUCAAAGUUUGAAAAAAAUUCCCUCGUGUCCCGUUUAAUGUAUGCUCGUGAAAAAUGGAUGCUUUUGGAAUAAAACUACGAUAAGAGCGGCUGCACAAAACUUUAAGUUAGAGUGUUUAAAAUAUGCCCAUGAAAAUAGAUGUCUUUGGAAUGGAAACACAACAGGAGCAGCUCUUUCUAGUGGUGCAUUAGAUUGUUUAAAAUAUUUUUACUUUAAUAUUGCGAUAUAAUAUUGCAAACUUCAGUAAAAUAUUGUUAUGCAAAAAUAUACUGUUGACGAAUACUAGUUAUUACUAUACAAUUUCAAUUUUCAUUUUAAUUGGUGUUUGCGAAACACACAAUAAAUCUUUUGACUUAAAUACGUAUUUUUAU